rnacentral:rRNA from 1 species
UGCGAAGGGGGCAAGCGUUGCCCGGAAUUAUUGGGCGUAAAGAGCGCGUAGGCGGCUUGGCAAGUCGGAUGUGAAAGCCCUCGGCUCAACCAAGGAAGUGCAUCCGAAACUGCUGAGCUUGAGUACUUAAGAGGAUCGCGGAAUUCCCGGUGUAGAGGUGAAAUUCGUAGAUAUCGGGAGGAACACCAGUGGCGAAGGCGGCGAUCUGGGAAGAUACUGACGCUGAGGUGCGAAAGCGUGGGGAGCAAACAGG